UAACGCGUAAUCAACCUGCCCUUCAGAGGGGGACAACAGUUGGAAACGACUGCUAAUACCGCAUACGAUCUGACCUCGGCAUCGAGGAUGGAUGAAAGGUGGCCUCUAUUUAUAAGCUAUCACUGAAGGAGGGGAUUGCGUCUGAUUAGCUAGUUGGAGGGGUAACGGCCCACCAAGGCGAUGAUCAGUAGCCGGUCUGAGAGGAUGAACGGCCACAUUGGGACUGAGACACGGCCCAGACUCCUACGGGAGGCAGCAGUGGGGAAUCUUCCGCAAUGGACGAAAGUCUGACGGAGCAGCGCCGCGUGAGUGAUGACGGCCUUCGGGUUGUAAAGCUCUGUUAAUCGGGACGAAAGGCCUUCUUGCGAAUAGUUAGAAGGAUUGACGGUACCGGAAUAGAAAGCCACGGCUAACUACGUGCCAGCAGCCGCGGUAAUACGUAGGUGGCAAGCGUUGUCCGGAAUUAUUGGGCGUAAAGCGCGCGCAGGCGGAUUGGUCAGUCUGUCUUAAAAGUUCGGGGCUUAACCCCGUGAUGGGAUGGAAACUGCCAAUCUAGAGUAUUGGAGAGGAAAGUGGAAUUCCUAGUGUAGCGGUGAAAUGCGUAGAUAUUAGGAAGAACACCAGUGGCGAAGGCGACUUUCUGGACGAAAACUGACGCUGAGGCGCGAAAGCCAGGGGAGCGAACGGGAUUAGAUACCCCGGUAGUCCUGGCCGUAACGAUGGGUACU
rnacentral:rRNA from 1 species